rnacentral:rRNA from 3 species
AUUUUUUUAUGACUCUCGACAACGGAUAUCUUGGCUCUUGCAUCGAUGAAGAACGCAGCGAAAUGCGAUAAGUGGUGUGAAUUGCAGAAUCCCGUGAACCAUCGAGUCUUUGAACGCAAGUUGCGCCCGAUGCCAUCAGGCUAAGGGCACGCCUGCCUGGGCGUCG